rnacentral:rRNA from 1 species
CCUACGGGGGGCAGCAGUCGAGAAUCAUUCACAAUGGGGGAAACCCUGAUGGUGCGACGCCGCGUGGGGGAAUGAAGGUCUUCGGAUUGUAAACCCCUGUCAUGUGGGAGCAAAUUAAAAAGAUAGUACCACAAGAGGAAGAGACGGCUAACUCUGUGCCAGCAGCCGCGGUAAUACAGAGGUCUCAAGCGUUGUUCGGAAUCACUGGGCGUAAAGCGUGCGUAGGCUGUUUCGUAAGUCGUGUGUGAAAGGCGCGGGCUCAACCCGCGGACGGCACAUGAUACUGCGAGACGAGAGGAAUGGAGGGGGAACCGGAAUUCUCGGUGUAGCAGUGAAAUGCGUAGAUAUCGAGAGGAACACUCGUGGCGAAGGCGGGUUCCUGGACAUUAACUGACGCUGAGGCACGAAGGCCAGGGGAGCGAAAGGGAUUAGAUACCCUUGUAGUC